UAUAGUGGUAUGGGUACGACCAGAAUAAAGAGGGAAAAUAAAGAUCCAGUCACACAUUCAAAGUUUCAAACCAAAAGCAAACGCCUACCUUCCACCCGCUAAAUUCCCCCAAAUACAAUCACCGUAAACCGUCAUUUCUAGGGUUUCCAAUCACCGGCAUAUACAGAUUUCGACGGAACCAUUCCAUCACACUAUUUUGACACAUAUAUCGUCUUCAAUUUCAGUUAUCUGUUUCAACCUUUUUGCUAUCUGUAAAGUUACCUGCAAAGACUUUAUCUUGUAUGACUAAACCGCACAUGGUGACUGUUACUGUCAUUAUGUCGUUCGGAGUUUUCAAGCUUGAUGCCCCAUGCUAAGUUGCUAACUCUACCACCAACACAGUAUUCUUUGAGGUUGUUGACCGUUGCUCCCAUCUUUGUAGAGGUGGCAAAAGUUUGUUUGAUUGGUUUCAAAACGUCCAUUAUAUGACAUUACAGGUUUAGCAAGCUUGAGCUAGAUGAUGAUUAAAGUGCGAGACAUGGGUAGAUUGCACUUGAGGAUGGCUAUAGUUUACCCAUAAUGGUUGCUCAUUUUAGACAUUUGUUUUAUUUUAAGAU